GCUGCUGUAGUAUAGCGGUUUAGUACUCCACGUUGUGGCCGUGGCGACCCAGGUCCGACUCCUGGCAGCAGCA
rnacentral:tRNA from 1 species